rnacentral:rRNA from 1 species
UAGCCAGGUCGGUUUCUAUCUUUUAAAUAAUAAAAAGCUAUUUUAGUACGAAAGGAGUAAAUAGCUAAAAUAUUUUUAUAUA